rnacentral:rRNA from 1 species
GAUGAACGCUAGCUACAGGCUUAACACAUGCAAGUCGAGGGGAAACGAUAGAGAAAGCUUGCUUUUUCUAGGCGUCGACCGGCGCACGGGUGAGUAACGCGUAUCCAACCUGCCCAUCACUUGGGGAUAACCUUGCGAAAGUAAGACUAAUACCCAAUGAUAUCUCUAGAAGACAUCUGAAAGAGAUUAAAGAUUUAUCGGUGAUGGAUGGGGAUGCGUCUGAUUAGCUUGUUGGCGGGGUAACGGCCCACCAAGGCGACGAUCAGUAGGGGUUCUGAGAGGAAGGUCCCCCACAUUGGAACUGAGACACGGUCCAAACUCCUACGGGAGGCAGCAGUGAGGAAUAUUGGUCAAUGGACGAGAGUCUGAACCAGCCAAGUAGCGUGCAGGAUGACGGCCCUAUGGGUUGUAAACUGCUUUUAUAAGGGAAUAAAGUGAGUCUCGUGAGACUUUUUGCAUGUACCUUAUGAAUAAGGACCGGCUAAUUCCGUGCCAGCAG